AUUUUCAAGGGGUGGCCCCCCUCCCCCUCAAUCUCUAAUCAAAACCCACAUCCCUGCAAAGGCCCGUAUUCUUUUUGACGUGUAGCAUUACUCUGAAGCCAAGGAACACGGAAAGCGGUGCGCACGGAUCCCACAACAAUAUGACAUGGCAUUAUCGGUGGCGUUAAAUCGUGAGGGAUCCAGCGACACACGCGCAACCGGCACGUCGCUUCAGCUGGUCAGCGGGCACGCAAUUCCGUAGUUAUAUAGGAUCAUCAAAGCAUGCCAUUCAGUUACCUUCAAGUUUCAGCAGGUAGACAAUGCCAUUACUUCCAUGUUUGUGUUAGCUAGCUUUAUCAUUCAGUAAGUCAGCAGGUUAUUCUUAGAAACAACAUAUGGGUAGCUCAAACUAUCCAGUCAUCCAUAUGAGAAGGCGCUUUACGUACUACCACUAGAAGGUUGUUCCAGCUCGUAGCAAGUGACAGAGUCCUGACUCCGGAUC
rnacentral:lncRNA from 1 species